CUGUCCAGGUGCAGGUAGUCCGCAUCUUCAGUCCGGCGACCGAAGCCCCGGUGAACAGCGGCCGUAACUAUAAUGGUCCUAAGGUAGAGAAAUUCCUUGUCGGGUAAGUUCUGACCCGCACGAAAG
rnacentral:ncRNA from 1 species